UAUUGCGCAAUGGAGGAAACUCUGACGCAGCCUGCCGCGUGCAGGAUGAAUGCCCUAUGGGUUGUAAACUGCUUUUCUGCAAGAAGAAACCUUAGUACGUGUACUAAGUUGACGGUACUGCAGGAAUAAGCACCGGCUAACUCCGUGCCAGCAGCCGCGGUA
rnacentral:rRNA from 1 species